rnacentral:lncRNA from 1 species
GUAAACACCUCGUUGUAAGGAUCAAAAGGUUAAUUGUGAAACAUGAGAAAUUCAGCUUGAUUGUUGAUGCAUGGCUGAAAUUAGAAGGAGUGCAAAGAGUCCGGUUCAUCUAGCGGACAAGCCGGAGGGAGUUCACGAGGAAAAGACGCGCUCUAAAAGUUCUCAGGUACUCAAGUAAAGGAUGAAGGUUAAGCAAGCGAGCCGAACCGAACACACAAUCUUUUAGAACGCUUCCGCAAUUAUGACUUUUGUUUUAGAUACUAAGUAAACUAAUGGUAGUUACCGUCUUGUAUGGGAUUUUAUAACAACAAUACAUGUAUGUUGUAAUAUUUUGGGUUUAUACUAUGAAAGUUUUUGUAAAGUCGUCAUUUUGGCGUUAAAUGCAAGGUUUUUAGGUUGUUAAAUUUGGUAAUAUAAACUGGGUCUUACAAGUUGGUAAUCAGAGCUUAAGGUUGC